rnacentral:rRNA from 1 species
UCUAGUAGCCAUAUCACCCUGCAACUCAGCACUGGCAGCCCCACUGGAGAUCAGCAGGUGUGAGUCUGGUCAGUACCUGGAUGGGAGACUCCUGGGAAGGCUGAGGCUGCUGCUGGAA